UUUCCCACCAAAACUACACUUAAUAUUCCGUCAAUUCUCAUAAGUCCAAGAUCCAAUAGUACUUGUAAAACCCUAUAGGAAUUAGUAGCAAAACAGUUUCUACGCCACCGCUGCUCCAAUACCCUCAAUCGCUGCUUCUAUUUCUUCGUUGCUUCAUCCUUGGUUACUGCUCUUCUAUUGCUUUUAGAAUUAACUUAAGUCAACGCUCAGGAAGAUAUAUAUUUGAAGUUGGGUUUGGUAUAACAUAAGUGUCAUGACUAGGGUUUCAAAUGUUCCAUCCAAGGAUUGGAUGGAUUUACCAAGGUAUAGCAAAGAGUAUAUUGAUGGGGUACAAUCUUUCAUAGAAUUUGCUUACUCUUAUGGAGAGCCUCAAGGCGAGGAAAUUCAAUGCCCGUUUGCAAAGUGUUGUAAUAUUCGUUGGAUUCAAAGGAAUGUAGUAUAUGAUCAUCUAAUAUGCUAUGGAUUUGUUCAAGGUUAUACAAGAUGAAUUAAUCAUGGAGAAUGAGAAAUCCCUAUGAAUGUUGAUGGUGACACGAGUGAUGAAAUUAACUCGUAUGAUGAUAUUAAUGGAUUAUUGAAUGAUCAAUUUAGAGAUGUUGCACAAGCUGAAGGCCUUUUUGAAGGUCCAAAUGAAGAUGCCAAUAAAUUCUAUAACUUAGUUGAUGAGGCAAGACAAGAACUAUAUCCUGGUUGUAAAGGAUUCUCUAGAUUAUCAUUCACAAUCCGUCUAUAUUUGUUGAAGUGUCUACAUGGAUGAAGCAAUACGUCAUUCA